AUUGAACGCUGGCGGCAUGCCUUACACACGCAAGUCGAACGGUAACGGGCCUUCGGGUGCCGACGAGUGGCGAACGGGUGAGUAAUACAUCGGAACGUGCCCGAUCGUGGGGGAUAACGAGGCGAAAGCUUUGCUAAUACCGCAUACGAUCUACGGAUGAAAGCAGGGGACCGCAAGGCCUUGCGCGGACGGAGCGGCCGAUGGCAGAUUAGGUAGUUGGUGGGAUAAAAGCUUACCAAGCCGACGAUCUGUAGCUGGUCUGAGAGGAUGAUCAGCCACACUGGGACUGAGACACGGCCCAGACUCCUACGGGAGGCAGCAGUGGGGAAUUUUGGACAAUGGGCGCAAGCCUGAUCCAGCCAUGCCGCGUGCGGGAUGAAGGCCUUCGGGUUGUAAACCGCUUUUGUACGGAACGAAAAGCCUUCUUUUAAUACAGGAGGGUCAUGACGGUACCGAAAGAAUAAGCACCGGCUAACUACGUG
rnacentral:rRNA from 1 species